rnacentral:tRNA from 1 species
GGCAAGAUGGCCGAGUUGGUUAUGGCGCCAGGUUAAGGUCUAAGCUUAGCAUUGAUUCCUGGUGGAGCAAUCCUCCUGGGUUCGAGUCCCAGUCUUGUCA